GCCACUCCUAGCUAUGUAACCAAAUGAAGAGUACACAUGUGCUCCGAGAGACACACACGGGAAUAUUCAGAACCUUUUCUGUAAUAGCUAUAAACUGAAAGCAGCACACGUCCAAAAGGAAAAUGAAUAAACAAAUACAGCAUAUUCAUACAAUAGAAUCCUAUAUAGAGCAACUAAAAUAACAGCUAGAGGCAACAACACGGAUGGAUCUUACAAGCCUGAUGUGGAACAAGAGAAGCCCGUUCAGAGACUAAGUGAAUGGAUUUAUGUGGUAUGCAAAAACAGGCAAAACCAAAUUAUAGUGUUUUGGGAGGUAUGCUUACAUAGUAAAGCUCUGAAGGAAAACAAAGAAAAGGAGACUAAAGAGAAUGACAACUUACGCAAUGCAGAAUCCUGGAUUGGAUCCUAGAUCCAAUCAAUGUGUAGGGAUGCCGAUCCCACUCCAAAUCUAGAACAUCAUUCACAUCUUGGACAGCAAAUUUCACAUACUGAUGAAGGCGCCGAAUUUCCUAUAAGAAAACAAUUAAAAGUCAUUCUGCAAAAUCUACAAGUGGAUAGCACACCACCACUACCUGGGCCCACCAUGUCCCUGCAAGAAAGACAACGUGAAAGAAGGUUCUUGUAUGCAAAGGCAUACCGGUAGUAGAGCCAUCACCACAUCUGGAGACGUUUCCAGGGUCCCAUCUGCAGCAGCAUACACUAUUGCGAAGACGUAGGUACCAAUCCACAGCACAUCCAGAACUGAAAGACACAUCUUAAUCAGUAGGUCAUAAAAAUGACAGCAAUCAGAUACAAGAAAAAGCAGCUUAUGUUUGGAAUAGCCAUUACGGAUAAAAAGAAAUCAAAGGCCCAGAUUUCAUUGACUAAAUAUAAU
rnacentral:antisense_RNA from 1 species